rnacentral:miRNA from 1 species
UGACUAGAUCCAUACUCGUCUAUAG